rnacentral:rRNA from 1 species
AUGUGCCCGAAAGGGGAAAGAUUUAUCGCCUUUGGAUUGGCCCGCGUCGGAUUAGCUAGUUGGUGGGGUAAAAGCCUACCAAGGCGACGAUCCGUAGCUGGUCUGAGAGGACGACCAGCCACACUGGGACUGAGACACGGCCCAGACUCCUACGGGAGGCAGCAGUGGGGAAUCUUGGACAAUGGGCGCAAGCCUGAUCCAGCCAUGCCGCGUGGAUGAUGAAGGCCCUAGGGUUGUAAAAUCCUUUCGUUGGGGACGAUAAUGAC